UCUCUGGGAUCCCAUCAUCAGAUCCUGGUUUCCUUAUCACGGUACUAAACUAGGGAUAUCUCCUUUUCAACAAAAAAAAGAAUUAUCAAAAUCGGUAUAUCCAGUGGAAAGUUAUGCGGUAUAAUACAACGUAGGUCGACGAAAAAAGCGUCAAGUAAAAACGCAUUAUUAGAUAUAACUCGAAAAGUAAUUGUUAGAUCUCAAAUAAAUUUAAACGGGACCAAUUGACACACACCACCUUUCGAUUA
rnacentral:misc_RNA from 1 species